rnacentral:sRNA from 1 species
UAAAGAAAAGUGCCAUAAUAUCUUGCCC